AGAGUUUGAUCCUGGCUCAGGACGAACGCUGGCGGCGUGCUUAACACAUGCAAGUCGAACGGAAAGGCCUCUUCGGAGGUACUCGAGUGGCGAACGGGUGAGUAACACGUGGGCAAUCUGCCCUGCACUUCGGGAUAAGCCUGGGAAACUGGGUCUAAUACCGGAUAGGACCUAAAGACGCAUGUCUUCUGGUGGAAAGCUUUUGCGGUGUGGGAUGGGCCCGCGGCCUAUCAGCUUGUUGGUGGGGUGACGGCCUACCAAGGCGACGACGGGUAGCCGGCCUGAGAGGGUGUCCGGCCACACUGGGACUGAGAUACGGCCCAGACUCCUACGGGAGGCAGCAGAAGGG
rnacentral:rRNA from 1 species